UACGUAGGUGGCGAGCGUUAUCCGGAAUUAUUGGGCGUAAAGAGCGCGCAGGUGGUUGAUUAAGUCUGAUGUGAAAGCCCACGGCUUAACCGUGGAGGGUCAUUGGAAACUGGUCGACUUGAGUGCAGAAGAGGGAAGUGGAAUUCCAUGUGUAGCGGUGAAAUGCGUAGAGAUAUGGAGGAACACCAGUGGCGAAGGCGGCUUCCUGGUCCGUGUAACAUGCACUGAGGCGCGAAAGCGUGGGGAGCAAACAGG
rnacentral:rRNA from 1 species